AGCGUCGGCUAAUUAGUUUUUCUUUGCUCGUUGCACUAAUGGCUCGUUUGUGUAUCCUUAGCCUGUCUUUUCAGUGUGUCCCUGUUGGAUGCUGGUUUGGAUCUGUUUACUGCCCUCCCUGCAGGUAUGAGGAAGUUGUUUAGCAAUGUUUAGCUUUAACGCGUGUCAGGUGGCGUGAGUAAUGUGCAGUCCUUGAACUUCAGUUUAACAGCAGGUUAUUUGAAGGCUGCGUAUCCUGAGCGGUGCAUUGAUUCUCAGGAACUUAUCUAUCCGCGUUUGGAGCUGGGGUCCCAUGGGUGAAACGUCUUUGGUGGUGCUAUUUCUACAUUUGCCGUACGACACUUUUGACGUGUAUGCGUGGGUGUUUUGAGUUCACGGUGAGGUGGGUGUGUGUGUGGAAGUGUGCUUUUUGAUAAUUAGUGCUGAUCACUCUGGUGGGUAACUCCAGCCCUGUAUGUAAUGAUUUUAUGUUGUUUUGUUUAUUUGGAAAUUGUGUAAAUUUAUUGUUUAAUAUUUUGUGUCUGAUUGUUUAUUUUUUGUUAUUUGUGUAAUUGUCACCGGACCAUAUUCACCAGCGAGAACAUUUUCUUUUUGUUUUAUAUUUUAAAGCCAAGUUUUUAAUAAACUCUGUAUUGUUUUAUACGAUGCCCACGUUUCCUGCCUACACUCAAUAAUAAGGGAAUCGAACUUGUGUGACCUAA